rnacentral:rRNA from 1 species
UACGGAGGGUGCAAGCGUUAAUCGGAAUUACUGGGCGUAAAGCGCACGUAGGUGGUUUGCUAAGUCAGCUGUGAAAUCCCCCGGGCUUAACCUGGGCACUGCAGUUGAAAACUGGCAAGCUAGAGUAGGGUAGAGGGGGUGUGGAAUUCCAGGUGUAGCGGUGAAAUGCGUUGAUAUCGAUAGGAACUCCCGGUGGCGAAGGCGGCAUACUGGACCACAUCUGACGCUGAGGCGCGAAAGCCAGGGGGAGCAAACGGG